CACGAACCGUACGAACGUUAUUCGGAAUUACUGGGCUUAAAGGGUUUGUAGGCGGCUUUGUAAGUCAGGUGUGAAAGCCCUCGGCUCAACCGAGGAACAGCGCUUGAUACUGCAAGGCUUGAGGGAGACAGGGGUAAGCGGAACUGAUGGUGGAGCGGUGAAAUGCGUUGAUAUCAUCAGGAACACCGGUGGCGAAAGCGGCUUACUGGGUCUCUUCUGACGCUGAGGAACGAAAGCUAGGGUAGCGAGCGGG
rnacentral:rRNA from 1 species